CCUACGGGCGGCUGCAGUGGGGAAUAUUGCACAAUGGGCGCAAGCCUGAUGCAGCCAUGCCGCGUGUGUGAAGAAGGCCUUCGGGUUGUAAAGCACUUUCAGCGGGGAGGAAGGCGGUGAGGUUAAUAACCUCAUCGAUUGACGUUACCCGCAGAAGAAGCACCGGCUAACUCCGUGCCAGCAGCCGCGGUAAUACGGAGGGUGCAAGCGUUAAUCGGAAUUACUGGGCGUAAAGCGCACGCAGGCGGUCUGUCAAGUCGGAUGUGAAAUCCUCGGGCUCAACCUGGGAACUGCAUUCGAAACUGGCAGGCUAGAGUCUUGGAGAGGGGGGUAGAAUUCCAGGUGUAGCGGUGAAAUGCGUAGAGAUCUGGAGGAAUACCGGUGGCGAAGGCGGCCCCCUGGACAAAGACUGACGCUCAGGUGCGAAAGCGUGGGGAGCAAACAGAAUUAGAUACCCCUGUAGUC
rnacentral:rRNA from 1 species